rnacentral:lncRNA from 1 species
UACUGAUGUGACUCUAAUGUAGCUUGUGACGAGUGUAAGCCAACUCAUUAUACUCAUCUUUUCAGUACAUGUAUUUGCGAAACAACGAGAUGCGUUUCUAUCCCUAUCAAGGCCCUCGCACCAAAAUAAGGAUAGGACCGCACCUUGGGUGUUUCACCUUACUUGAAAACGCUCAUAAAUUGUUAUUGAUGUCUUAUCUCCUUCCUCCAAAAUCUCCCUAGUUGGCAUACAUAUAUAUUCAGUGAAAACUAAAAACACUUUGUUGUCGAGCAUCCAAAUUACACAACAAGCAAGCAGAUCUCAUCCACUCACUUAUCUGAGUGUGUGUUCAUACACAGCUCCGCCGAAUCAAUGACCAGGCAAACCUAGCCAAUCAUCAGCUAACCCACAUCAAAUGACACAGAUUAAAUAAAAAGUAACCUAAGAAGAGUAAGUUACAUUGUUGGAGAUCUCAUCCAUAUUGCGAACAAUCUUCGAGGAGGGCACCAGUUGCACAAUGUGGAUAUUGAGUAUGUCCGACUUGCAUAUUCAAGCAAACAGUCAUAGAAUAUUUAGCAAGCGAUUGUUAGGGUGGGGUAGUAUUGGGGAUCAACGAGGUUCAAAGUUUCCGUCCAUAACCGUUAGAUGGCCUCCUCGAGCGAUGGAAGCCCUUGGCCGUGCAUAACACAUAGAAGUCGUAUAGGUCCGUCAUCGGCCUUGCCGCAAAGGUGGAGUAGGCGGCCACCUCGGCGCGGCUGGCGACAGCGACCCGCAACAUCGUGGCCGCAUGGGCACCGAGUGUAUCGAUCCUCAAGAGGGGUAGGA